rnacentral:rRNA from 1 species
UACGGAGGGUGCAAGCGUUAUCCGGAUUCACUGGGUUUAAAGGGUGCGUAGGAGGGCAGGUAAGUCAGUGGUGAAAUCUCCAAGCUUAACUUGGAAACUGCCGUUGAUACUAUCUGUCUUGAAUAUUGUGGAGGUGAGCGGAAUAUGUCAUGUAGCGGUGAAAUGCUUAGAUAUGACAUAGAACACCAAUUGUGAAGGCAGCUCACUACACAAUCAUUGACUCUGAGGCACGAAAGCGUGGGGAUCAAACAGG